AGACUACAAUUAAACGAACGACACACACUUUUGUUAAAUUUUUGAGACUUUUAGAAAAUACUAGAAAUUAUAGAUAAAACCUACAAUAAGGAAAUAGUUUAUACAACAGACGUUCUACUAUUUUGGCAGAAAUCGGGAAAUGUGGAGGGGAGUUGAAAGCUUGUAGAGAAUGAAGUCCCGCUGAGAGUCCCGCUCGAUUUGACGGGAGAACUUGAGGCUUUCGCUGCUUUCGUUGCUUUCGGUUGUGAUUUAUUGUUUUGCUGCGAUGACGAAAGUGACGGCGGUUUGGCGUUGUACGUCUGUGCUGGCGCCGGAGUAGUAGAUUUGCUGUUGCCGCUAUUUGGAGGAGUAUACGUCGGUCUGGAUGGCGAUGCGGCUCUGGCGUAAACUGUUGGUUUACCCUUUCCUUCGUCUGUGCUACUACUGGAACUGCUGGAAGAACUACUAGAACUGCUGCUGCUGCUUGUAGCUUCCUUUGGUUUCUCGUACGAAGUUCCAGGUUUUCCCUCUGGCCCUUGUGGGCCAGGUUCUCCGGGUGAUCCUUUCUCACCACUAGGGCCUGAUGAACCGUCGUUCCCAGGUUUACCAGGUGGACCUUUGGGACCGGCCUUUCCUUCUGGACCUUUUUCUCCAGGUGUUCCCGGUAUGCCGGCUUUUCCUUGAGGUCCAGGAGGUCCUAUCGGGCCUGUAUGUCCCAUUUGUCCAGGAUGCCCUUGUGGUCCAGUAAAGCCAGGUAGACCAGCUUUACCUUGCGAUCCCGUUUGACCAGGACCUCCUGGUGAGCCUGGAGCACCAACCGGCCCCGGAUGACCAUCUUUCCCAUCUUUUCCGGGUGGCCCGGAAGGUCCUAAUGAGAUUAGCAACAUUAAUCAAGCUUCAGUAUUAAUCAAAACAGCUUUUAUUUUAAUUACCAGUAGGUCCAGUAGGGCCUUCAGGGCCUUCGGGACCUUCUUUUCCAGAAGGUCCUUUUUAAUAAACCAACAAUAUUAUUAUUAUUUCUAUUGGCGAAUCAAUUUGUCUUGUAGUAAUUUCAUGUACUCACCCUGUUCUCCGGUAUUUCCAGUAGGUCCUUCUGGUCCAGUCGGCCCGGUCGGUCCGGCUUUUCCAGGAUCACCAGGAAGUCCACUUAACCCAACAGCUCCCGGUUCGCCAGUUUCGCCUGAUUGGGCAUUGUUUAAACAGAAGAAAACAUCAGACAGAUAUAUUAAAUUCAUCCAGGCGUCGACUUUUAAAAGCCUUUAAAAAGUAAGUUAUAAAUCCAAAUUUCUUUUUCAUUAUCACCCUUUUCGCCUGGAGGACCGUUCGGCCCAGGAGUUCCAUCUUUUCCUGGAGAUCCAGUUUCGCCUGUUGGACCUUUCGGGCCAAUCGAUCCAGGAGGUCCUUCCGGCCCUUCCGGCCCUGGAGGUCCCAUCUCUCCGGGGCUUCCUUUUGUUGUCCGGGAGUGCCAUCAUCGCCAUCAUCGCCAUUUUUUCCAUCCAAUCCUGGAGCUCCCACUUUACCUGGAAAUCCUAUUCAAAAUUGCCUAAUUAGAACACGAGUCUAAGCGUAGGGGGUAUUGGUUAACAGAAGGAAUAAAUUUAAAACUUAAGUUUUUUUUACCAGGGAAUCCAGGAUCUCCUUUCGGGCCCAUCGACCCUGGUUCUCCAGGUGAUCCAUCUUUGCCGUUUUCACCGGGUUCUCCAUCUGAUCCAGGAGAUCCAUCACUUCCUGAAUCACCUUUUUCGCCUGGAGGACCUUCCUGACCAGGAGAACCAUCUUUUCCCGAGUGUCCUUUGUCGCCGGAAGGACCUUUCGAUCCCGGUGAUCCUUUUUCACCUUUUUCUCCAUCGUGUCCGUCUUUUCCAUCCUUACCGGGUGGGCCUGGUGGGCCUGGAGGACCCGGCGGCCCAGGCGAGCCGCUAUCACCUCCGCCCCCACCUCCCUUAUAACUUCCGCCACUUGCUUUAUACCCACCCCCACCUCCACCAUAGCCUCCGCCGCCUCCGCCGCCUCCGUAUCCUCCUCCUCCUCCCCCUCGAUAGCCUCCUCCACCUCCACGAUGGCCGUUCUUCGCUUCUUCAUUGCAUAAAAGGCGGGCCGGGUGGGCCUGGAGGUCCAGGAGGCCCAGGUGGACAUGCACAGGAGCCGUUUAGGAGUGGAAGAUAAUCCAGGAGGAGUUCCCAUUGCUCUUGAAAUCUUUGAAUGUGAGCUCUCUCCGCGGCGGAAUAAACGCGCGGAUCCAAUCCGUAGUAAGGGUUCAAAGAAGCCAAAACUUCCCUGUGCUGACAUAGUUUCCAUUAAAAAAAAAACAUCCAACAUCUGCCGUUACAUACCAGCGCCUUCAUGAUUGACACAAAUCAGACGAGUUCGGAGGGGGAAAUGGAUUCUGUGCGGACUCUUAUGACGAAUAUGAUGUUCUAAUCAAACGGAACUGUGACAUACUGUCGAUCUUGCGAAUUUAAAAGAUUAGGUUAUGGAGAAAAGGAUACCAAAAAUGUUGUGCCACGAACUGCCCGCAGUUGGACACUGACUCACGUUGAGAGAUCGUCGGCCGAUUAAGUAGAAGAGAUAAAAUAAGAGUUUGAUCUUCGCGACGGGACCUGGUGCUGCAGAGAUGCUGGCUUCCGGCAUCCGAGUGUCCUUAAUCUCAUUCUAAUUGGGAUCAUCGCAACUCCGGGGAUCGUCAAACACGUUAUAAAUGAAAGUGCAGACAAAGAUUCACUCACGGAAAUGUGAGAUGGGAAAACGAGGUUGGCGUCUUCUAGAGAUGGAUAUUUUGACAACACAAGCUUUCUCUUUUCACUUCACCUCAUUAGCGUUUUCUACGCUGGAGAAAGGAUAUGUCACGCAUUACUGCUGAAUUGUUUUCCCAGAAUCACAGUGGUGUCCCAGUUUAAUUACUGAGUGAAAAGCAGUAUCACCAUCGCUGCUAGCUGAUGAGCUGAAGAUUUGAUCUCUUUAAGCGCUUGAUGCAGCGUAAUCAAAUCAAGCGCGCAGGAAAUGUUUGGCUUCCGGCCAUUUCGCGUCCUUAAUCUCAUUCUGAUUGAAAAUAGAGAGACGGUUCAAUUAGCAUCUAGACUCUUCGCACGCUUUUUACAUUUGUUACUUUCGAUCCACAGAAUUCGCUUUCAGCUUUCACCAACUACAUCUUCCCAAAUGUUUUCUCCUCCGACUGCUUUGUCAAUACAGUGAUUGGCUUCCAACGAGAUUCGAAAUGUUUCUCGCCCAGCGAGCACUGUAGUUUUAUAGAUUAUGUUGCAUUUAACUUUUACCAGUCUAUAAUUUUUUGGCUAGAUAGGCUUAUGGAUUCGCUGUCUGGAACGGCUGGAAUUUGAAUUAAAUUUAAGCACUACAUGAGACAAUAAUCGUUAAAUUUCUUUUUUACAAGGUUUGCAAUUUCCCGUUUCCUCUAGAUAUCCUGAACGGAAUAAUAAUGACAAGAGUUGGAAUCGAUUAAAUUCACAUCGAGAUGUGCACUCAACGGUCAUCAUCUUCGCUUCACACUAAAAUGAUCCGUGUUUGAUUCCUUGCUCGUCCAAUUGUGUAAUGACCCCUAAGAUGUAUUCAUAUUUCAUAUGACCUUGUAUGUCUUGCAUAUCCGCUCUUCAUUAAUGUACAAUACACAGUCUACAUCAAUA